AACAGUUUGUAAACCAAAGGUUUGUAAGGAAUCAGCAACAGCUGAACUUCACCAGCUGAUCAAAAAACACACUCUACUUGGAUAAUAUACAAUCAAAACACAUUCUAAACAACGAGUUUACUCCAGUCAUACGUGUUACGUGCGCACAUAGAUGAUCUUAACGUAUGUAUGCACUGUAUGUAGCUUGACUUUGAAUUGUUUUUCAUACAAAGGUAUUGUCU